GGUCGUGUAGCUCAGUAGGAUAGAGCACGUGCCUUCUAAGCAUGUGGUCGCAGGUUCGACUCCUGCCACGAUCG